AGUGUGAAAUUUGUGUUUUGAUAAAUGUGUGCACUGCAUAAUUGAAGCAUCAAUAAAGAUUUACAUUUACAGUUAUAUUGCCUUGGAAACUUCCCUUGUGCACCUUUGUGGUUAGUUCACAUACUAUCUUCUAGUCUUAUUUGUGUAU